rnacentral:sRNA from 1 species
GGAGGCUAUUCAUGUAGAACCGAUUGUAUACAUAAGUUUUUGAUUAUACUAUGGUCCAAUUUCUCGUUCUCAGUUUUAGUUUCUGAUCUCGCUUUGUUCCUACCGUCAAUAUACAACAAUCUCGCUGGACUUCGAGUUCUCGAACAUGGCCCCAGAUAUCUCCUCCGCCAAAAUCACCCUAUCAUGUCCACUGUUCGGCGUCGAUUUCGACCCUCGGAAUAAUGGCUUUCUUCUUGUAGGCGGCGGCGGAGGGGAGGGGCGUAGCGGCGUCGGAAAUAAAAUCGCCUUGCUAAAUACUUCCCAACGCAACGAGAUAUCCGAAAUAGCCGAUAUUGAACUAUCUCGAGAUGAAGACUCAGUGACCUCCCUAGUGGUAUCGAAGUCAAAUGACAAGUCAAUUAUAGCUCUAGCCGGCAUCAACAGCUCCGUUGCUGAGCAGCAACGGGACAAUAAUGAGCAUCUCAGAUCUUUUCAGCUGGAUUAUCCUCCCGGCCAAGUACCAGCCAUCUCCCCUACGUCACCGGCAAAAUCAAAAAAGGGAGGGAAGAAACAUGUCACGCAGCCUACCAAACCGAUGAUAACUCCUUUAUCACAGGCGUCGCUGUUUAAACCAAAGUAUAAACCUAAGGACAAACGGGAAACGUACCAAAGAUUACUGCGACUUUCGCCGUGGAAAGGAGAGGAGGCUCCCCGUAUUGGUGUGGUAGCUACUGGUUUGGCUCCUCAGGGAGAAAUGGUCUUGUUCAAUGCGACGUCACCAGCUCCAAAGGAAUCUGAUAUUGUAGGUAGGAUUUGGCUGGAGGGUAGAGAUGAGGUUGAAGAUGUGGACAUGUUACCAGCCAGUGAGGGCGACAAUGGGAAAUUCAAGGUGGCAUUUACAGACGGUAUAUCUAUCUAUACAUUGAAAGUUUCUGCUUCGACGAGAUCGAACGAGACUCCGAAAACAAAAGUAGUCUAUACCCUGCCAUUCCCAGAUUAUUUCGCGAGGAGCAAAAAGAGAGGCAAAAUCCGAGCUCUGAGAUUCCUCUCCCCAACAUCCUUUCUCAUCCUACUCAACCUUCCAGACCGAGCUGGCUGCGAACUAGCAAUAAUCUCGCUCGGUCUCGCUCCUGAAGGCACCGUUGUCCGACGAACUAGGCUUCCGCGCGGGAUGAAAAUUGGUCUAGGCCUGGAUGUGUGCCCGCUCUCCGAAUCGGCCAUGGGCACCAGACAAUUCAUAGUCGCAGUAUCGAGCAAUGACAACUCAAUCCAGAUCCUCACGCUCGAAUGCAAACGCAAAGGUAAACCCGCCUUUAGCAAAUUCCGUCCAUACGCCACCCUACGUAAUGUGCAUCCUUUCUCCAUGACGCGCCUUACCUUCUCAACUUUCACCCCGCCCGUCCAACCAGUUUCUGCAGACGUACGACCUCAGGACGUCAAACUCGCCUCCAUAAGUGUCGGUAACACCGUGGUUGUGCACUCUCUCCCUGUCACUGCCUCCCCUCCCAAAUCCCGCCACCCGCGCUACGUGCUUGUCCAACCAGGGCCCUCGGAGCUUCUCCAGACUCUCUUAAGCGGCUUUAUGGCAUUGAUUGUCGUGGCGCUGGGCGCAUUCUUCCUACAAGUCUUCACGGAGAUACGAGGCGGUGUACCACCAGCGCUGGGUGCUCAUGACUGGCUUAGCCCCAGGAUCCGAUCAAUGAUUGCUCGUCCGUAUCUCUUUGAGAACGGUUUAUCGUCUCAAUACCAGAAAUGGCGGUCGCCGACAGAUCCGCUAUCGAUCUCCGCAACGACGACAACGGUGACAACCACAAUAACCACACCGGUCAUGCAAAUAACCCCGACGCAGAUCCUCCGCGAUUUACUUUCGUCGCUUUCACGAGCGGUGCCGGAAGCCACCCCACUCCCUGAAACGCCCGACCAAUCUGCACUGGACCAUAUGAAGAUCGUUAUCCACGAACACCCAGAUGACCCAUCGCUGAUCGCUGUUACAACUCUCCCACAUACAUAUGGCGACGGCGACAGCGACAAGGCCAGCAACGCAGGAGCAGAAAAAGCACAGCAUCCACGCAAAUGGGCAGACUUGCACGAACAUGAGCGUGAAGCGUGGAAAGCGAAACUUAGCGCUGCGGGCCAUUGGGCUAAGGAGGAAGGAGAGGCUAUCUUGAGAGGGUUGCUUUUUGGGC